rnacentral:rRNA from 1 species
UACGUAGGGUGCAAGCGUUGUCCGGAUUUAUUGGGCGUAAAGAGCUCGUAGGCGGUUUGGCAAGUCGGGUGUGAAAACUCCAGGCUCAACCUGGAGAUGCCACCCGAUACUGCUAUGACUUGAGUCUGGUAGGGGAGCACGGAAUUCCUGGUGUAGCGGUGAAAUGCGUUGAUAUUGGCAGGAACGCCGGUGGUGAAGACGCGCGGCUGGACCUUUUCUGACGCUGAUGCACGAAAGCCAGGGGAGCAAACGGG